rnacentral:rRNA from 1 species
AGCGAACGUUAGCGGCGGGCCUAACACAUGCAAGUCGAACGCGAAAGGGAUUCGUCCCCGGUAGCGUGGCGUCCGGGUGAGUAACACGUAGGAAACCUUCCCUAGAGAGUGGGAUAACGUUCCGAAAGGGACGCUAAUACCGCAUAAGCCCACGACCCCUUCGGCGGAGGAGGGAAAAGAUGGGCUCUGUAUACCACCUAUAACCUUGGGCUGGUGCUGCGGCGCCUCAGCUAGUUGGUAGGGUAAUGGCCUAACAAGGCGAAGACGCGUAGCUGGUCUGAGAGGAUGAUCAGCCACACUGGCACUGAAACACGGGCCAGACUCCUACGGGAGGCAGCAGUGGGGAAUAUUGGACAAUGGGCGCAAGCCUGAUCCAGCCACGCCGCGUGAGUGAUGAAGGCCUUCGGGUUGUAAAGCUCUGUGGGGAGAGGCGAAAACAGUCAUCAAGGAACGGAUGAUUCUUGACGGUAUCUCCUUAGCAAGCACCGACUAACUCUGUGCCAGCCGCCGCCGUAAUAC